UAGUGCCUUUCAUGGAUAUGCUUCAUGGGGCAAGUUAUGAGAGCUGUGUGCAUUCAAAUCUCUUCAAUCAAAGAUAGUAAAAUAUCCCAAGAGUCUCCAGGCUGAACAAAUAAUUGACUGCUUCUCAAAUUACCUUUUAAAGCACCACUGCUCGAGAACAAGAGGACUUUUUGAACAGGUGAGCCAAACAUGAGGCUACUGUCAGCAACAUCCUGGUCUCCUUUAUUAGACUUUUGAGAAUACAGACUGCGCACAAGCGUUUGUCAAAUAUUUGUCAAAUGAACAAAAGAGUAAAUCUGUAAAUUAAACAAUUAUACCAUUCUAGGAAAUCAAAUCACUACUACUACAUCUACCAAAGCUUCUGUGAAGACUUCUAAGAGGGUCUCGCUGGAGUGCCCAGGCUGGAGUGCAGUGGCAUGAACACGGAC